GGGACUCCCAGUCAUGCAGCCUGGACUCUAACCAGGUACUGCAGUGACGCAAGAGGCGGGACUGCACCACUCGGGAGGUGGCUGAGCUGAAACAGAAAGUAAAUAUGUUAUUUUGUUCAGGAUCCAUUUUGAGACGACAGAGCAGAAAACACUAUAUGGAGAUUAUUGAAAAAUAAAUGGCCUGGCUGCAUCCAGACUGUCAAAGGCCCAUCCUGGUAGAUCUGAACCUAAUGCAGCUUGGAGUGAUCAGAUGACAGAAGUCACAUUUAGGUGCCAGGUCUUCAGCAGGCUUGAAACGUGAUACUGAUUUUCAUACUAAGAGGGACCAGGAGUCUGUUGAUUGGCCAGUCAUUGGGUUCAUUUGUUGAAAUCAAAUCAAGCUUUAUUUAUACAGCACAUUUCAGACAUGGAUCCAACACAAUGGCUUCAUA